rnacentral:sRNA from 1 species
GGCGCAGGCGCAAGCCGGCAAGAUGGCGGCGGCUGGGGCUGGCCGUCUGAGGCGGGCGGCAUCGGCUCUGCUGCUGCGGAGCCCCCGCCUGCCCGCCCGGGAGCUGUCGGCCCCGGCCCGACUCUAUCACAAGAAGGUUGUUGAUCAUUAUGAAAAUCCUAGAAACGUGGGGUCCCUUGACAAGACAUCUAAAAAUGUUGGAACUGGACUGGUGGGGGCUCCAGCAUGUGGUGACGUAAUGAAAUUACAGAUUCAAGUGGAUGAAAAGGGGAAGAUUGUGGAUGCUAGGUUUAAAACAUUUGGCUGUGGUUCCGCAAUUGCCUCCAGCUCAUUAGCCACUGAAUGGGUGAAAGGAAAGACGGUGGAGGAAGCCUUGACUAUCAAAAACACAGAUAUCGCCAAGGAGCUCUGCCUUCCUCCCGUGAAACUGCACUGCUCCAGUAAGUCUCUGCUCUCCAUACCAGUCAGCUGGGACAUUUGGCAGUAAUUUCAACUUGGUUUGCAACAGUCCUUUUAGAUCAUGGAGCCCACGUUUGUAACCCUCAGAAUUAGAGCUCAUGAGUCUGUCCUUAUAACCUGCAGAGGGUUAGAGCCCCCAUGGUCUCACAUUCAUCCCUAAGAGAAUCAUGCCAGAAGGAGGUAUGCACCAGCCAUCAUACUGAGCACUUGAUGGGCGUAACUUCUAAACCUCACAAAUAUCCUUGAGUGCACAGUAGAUGUCAUUACUUCCCUCUUACG